UCAGCAGUUGUUCCAUUGAC
rnacentral:miRNA from 1 species